UAGUUUGAUCCUGGCUCAGGAUGAACGCUGGCGGCGUGCCUAAUACAUGCAAGUCGAGCGGUAAGGCCCCUUCGGGGGUACACGAGCGGCGGACGGCUGAGUAACACGUAGGAACAUACCCCAAAGUGAGGGAUAACUGCUCGAAAGAGUAGCUAAUACCGCAUGUGCUCUAAGGAGUAAAGCUUCGGCGCUUUGGGAAUGGCCUGCGUAAGAUUAGCUUGUUGGUGAGGUAAUAGCUCACCAAGGCGACGAUCUUUAGCUGGUCUGAGAGGAUGAUCAGCCAGACUGGGACUGAGACACGGCCCAGACUCCUACGGGAGGCAGCAGUAGGGAAUUUUCCACAAUGGGCGAAAGCCUGAUGGAGCAACGCCGCAUGCAGGAUGAAGGCUCUUGGGUCGUAAACUGCUUUUAUAUGUGAAGAUUAUGACGGUAGCAUAUGAAUAAGGAUCGGCUAACUCCGUGCCAGCAGCCGCGGUCAUACGGAGGAUCCAAGCGUUAUCCGGAAUUACUGGGCGUAAAGAGUUGCGUAGGCGGCAUAGCAAGUAGGGCGUGAAAGAGUGUGGCUCAACCAUAUAAACAUGUCCUAAACUGCUAAGCUAGAAUCUAGAAGAGGUCACUGGAAUUCCUUGUGUAGGAGUGAAAUCCGUAGAUAUAAGGAGGAACACCGAUGGCGUAGGCAGGUGACUGGUCUAGUAUUGACGCUAAGGCACGAAAGCGUGGGUAGCAAACGGGAUUAGAUACCCCGGUAGUCCACGCCGUAAACUAUGGAUGCUAGCUGUUAGAAGUAUCGACCCUUCUAGUAGCGAAGCUAACGCGUUAAGCAUCCCGCCUGUGGAGUACGAGCGCAAGCUUAAAACAUAAAGGAAUUGACGGGGACCCGCACAAGCGGUGGAGCGUGUUGUUUAAUUCGAU
rnacentral:rRNA from 1 species